ACGAGGAACUGAAGUUUAAGAGAGUUCAAGAAGAUUGUGGGUCCCAUGCUAGAGCAAACUGGCCCCGAACCAUUGCCUGGCCUGUGCCAGUAGGCUGCUGGCACUGAAGUGGGUUGCACAGUG
rnacentral:snoRNA from 1 species